rnacentral:rRNA from 1 species
UACAGAGGUCUCAAGCGUUGUUCGGAUUCAUUGGGCGUAAAGGGUGCGUAGGUGGCCAGGUAAGUUUGGUGUGAAAGCUCGGAGCUUAACUCCGAAAAGUCAUUGAAUACUAUCUGGCUGGAGGGUCGGAGGGGAGACUGGAAUUCUCGGUGUAGCAGUGAAUGACGUAGAUAUCGAGAGGAACACCAGUGGCGAAGGCGAGUCUCUGGACGACUCCUGACACUGAGGCACGAAAGCUAGGGGAGCAAACAGG